GACGAACGCUGGCGGCUCGCUUAACACAUGAAAGUCGAACGGAAAGGCCCUGCUUUUGUGGGGUGCUCGAGUGGCGAACGGGUGAGUAACACGUGAGUAACCUGCCCUUGACUUUGGGAUAACUUCAGGAAACUGGGGCUAAUACCGGAUAGGAGCUCCUGCUGCAGGGUGGGGGUUGGAAAGUUUCGGCGGUUGGGGAUGGACUCGCGGCUUAUCAGCUUGUUGGUGGGGUAGUGGCUUACCAAGGCUUUGACGGGUAGCCGGCCUGAGAGGGUGACCGGCCACAUUGGGACUGAGAUACGGCCCAGACUCCUACGGGAGGCAGCAGUGGGGAAUAUUGCACAAUGGGCGGAAGCCUGAUGCAGCAACGCCGCGUGCGGGAUGACGGCCUUCGGGUUGUAAACCGCUUUCGCCUGUGACGAAGCGUGAGUGACGGUAAUGGGUAAAGAAGCACCGGCUAACUACGUG
rnacentral:rRNA from 1 species